GGGGGUAUAGCUCAGUGGCAGAGUGCAUGCUUAGCAUGCAUGAGGUCCUAGGUUCAAGCCCCAGUUCUUCCA
rnacentral:tRNA from 1 species